GCGGGCGUAGCUCAGUUGGUUAGAGCGUCCCCCUGUCACGGGGAAGGUCACCGGUUCGAGUCCGGCCGCCCGCG
rnacentral:tRNA from 1 species